CCCAUAAUGAAUUGUUAAAAUCAUUUGGUGAUAUUUAAUUUGUCGAGCCUAUCAGUGAACAAUGAGAGUGCAUCUUGCAGUUUUUUUGGUUGUUAUGUUGGUGGUAGUGUGUCAGUGCAUACCGUACGAUGACUCCGACCCUACCCUCAGCCAUGGAUAUGGCGACGACGAUUACCACCCGGCCCAGGACCAACAAUUUUUUAUACUGAAAAAGCUCAAACUGCUGGGUCUAGGUUUACUUGGCAAGAAACUUUUUGGUUAAUUUGUGAUACUCAUAGUGUAGAUAUAGGUAGUUAAAUUAUUUUGUACUUAAAGUCGUAAUAAAUUUUUAAUUAAU